rnacentral:rRNA from 1 species
AUUGAACGCUGGCGGCAGGCCUAACACAUGCAAGUCGAACGAGUGGCGGACGGGUGAGUACUUUCGUGGAAACUGCCUGAUGGAGGGGGAUAACUGCUGGAACCGGUAGCUAAUACCGCAUAACACCGUAUGUGCUCAGAUGGGAUUAGCUAGUGGGUGGGGUAAAGGUUCACCUAGGCGACGAUCCCUAGCUGGUCUGAGAGGAUGACCAGCCAAACUGGAACUGAGACACGGUCCAGACUCCUACGGGAGGCAGCAGUGGGGAAUAUUGCGCAAUGGGCGCAAGCCUGAUGGAGCCAUGCCGCGUGUAUGAAGAAGGCCUUCGGGUUGUAAAGUACUUUCAGCGGGGAGGCGUUACCCAAAGAAGAAGCACCGGCUAACUCCGUGCCAGCAGCCGCGGUAAUUC